ensembl:misc_RNA 7SK 7SK RNA
AGAUAUGAGGGCGAGCUGGCUGAGACAUCUGUUGUCCCAUUGAUCACCAGGUUUGAUGUGGCUCACCUGGCUGGCUAAGUGGGUAUCCCCUUCUUCCCUCACUUUUGGUGCAUCCCUCCCAAAGCUGUACACUCAGCCGAAGGAGAUGACCUUCCCCCAUAAAGGAGGACUGUUCCUCACUCAAGGGUCUGCUUGAGUAGCUGUGCUCCCCUGUUAGAAUUGCCAAACAAGCUCUCAAGGUCCGUUUACAGAAGAAUCUAGGAUAGUCAAGCUUCCAAGACUCCAGACAUGUCCAAAUGAGAUGCUGCUGUGGCAGUCCACUUUUCUUU